CACACACACACACACACACACACACACACUCACACACACACACACACACACACACACACACACACGCACACACACACACGCACACACACACACACACACAAACACACACACACACACACACACAGUGAAGUUGUGUAAUACAAAUGUAUUUAUUUAUUUUAUAAGUUAAUUAAUAUUUAGCACACAAUUUAAACAUUUAUUUAUUAUUAGUUUAAACAUUAUUGGUGAUGACUGGAGAUAAUUUGUGUAUGCUGAACUAAUUGUCAUAGAAGUUGUUGUUGAAAGCCAGGAAGAGCGUCUUCAUCCGGAUGACAUCAUCUGUCAGAAAAAGCCGAACUCCACUCACGAUAAAUCUCUAUCAGGUGCGCUUUUAAUCAGAGCCUAUUAAACACCAAACACCAGCAGAAACAAAGGAGUGAGAGCUUGUUCUGCAGUUUAUCCACCAUUUUUCCCUUUGAGGAAAACUUUGUGACUGCAAAAACUUUUGAGGUGUAAGUAAAGGAGUACAACAGGAAUAGGAUGCGAAUCAGUGAUUAAUCAACCCCAGACGCUGCUGGUUAUCAACCUAAUUUGAACUUGAGCUUUCUACUUAAGGAAUGACCGUUUCAAGACUAAUCUAACUGCAAACAAAAUUCAUCUGUUCCAAUCUAUCAUGAUAUGAAUGAAAUCAACAGAUUGCAAAUCUAGAUUGUAAUAACUUUAUUGAAAGUAAAAGCCAUUUUGAGAUGA